rnacentral:rRNA from 1 species
GACGAACGCUGGCGGCGUGCUUAACACAUGCAAGUCGAACGGAAAGGCCUUUUCGGAGGUACUCGAGUGGCGAACGGGUGAGUAACACGUGGGUGAUCUGCCCUGCACUCUGGGAUAAGCCUGGGAAACUGGGUCUAAUACCGGAUAGGACCGCACUUUAGUGUGUGUGGUGGAAAGUUGUUUCGGUGUAGGAUGAGCCCGCGGCCUAUCAGCUUGUUGGUGGGGUAAUGGCCUACCAAGGCGGCGACGGGUAGCCGGACUGGGAGGUUGGUCGGCCACAUUGGGACUGGGAUACGGCCCAGGAUCCUACGGGGGGGAGGAGUGGGGAAUAUUGCACCAGUGGCGCGAGCCCGAUGCAGCGACGCCGCGGGGGGGAGGACGGCCUUCGGGUUGUAAACUCCUUUCGCCAGGGACGAAGCGUUUUGUGACGGUACCUGGAGAAGAAGCACCGGCUAACUACGUG